rnacentral:rRNA from 1 species
UACGUAGGGUGCGAGCGUUAAUCGGAAUUACUGGGCGUAAAGCGUGCGCAGGCGGUCUGUUAAGACCGAUGUGAAAUCCCCGGGCUUAACCUGGGAACUGCAUUGGUGACUGGCAGGCUUUGAGUGUGGCAGAGGGAGGUAGAAUUCCACGUGUAGCAGUGAAAUGCGUAGAGAUGUGGAGGAAUACCGAUGGCGAAGGCAGCCUCCUGGGCCAACACUGACGCUCAUGCGCGAAAGCCAGGGGAGCGAACGGG